rnacentral:rRNA from 1 species
UACGUAGGGUGCAAGCGUUGUCCGGAAUUAUUGGGCGUAAAGAGCUCGUAGGCGGUUUGUUGCGUCGGCUGUGAAAUCCCGAGGCUCAACCUCGGGUCUGCAGUCGAUACGAGCAAACUAGAGUGUUGCAGGGGAGACUGGAAUUCCUGGUGUAGCGGUGAAAUGCGCAGAUAUCAGGAGGAACACCAGCGGCGAAGGCGGCGCUCUGGGCUGGAACUGACGCUGAGGAGCGAAAGCGUGGGGAGCGAACAGG